rnacentral:rRNA from 1 species
CUUGUACACACCGCCCGUCACACCACGAGAGUUUGUAACACCCGAAGCCGGUGGAGUAACCUUUUAGGAGCUAGCCGUCGAAGGUGGGACAAAGGAUUGGGGUGAAGUCGUAACAAGGUAGCCGUAUCGGAAGGUGCGGCUGGAUCACCUCCUUU